ensembl:lncRNA
CCACGGUUUUUGUUCUAAGUAUCAGAGUGAGUGUGGUGUGAGUGAGACGUGUUCCUUUCAGAGAAUGAGGGUCAGCCUGUUCAUGUCGCACUGUGUUCUGAUUGCGUGGAAUUGUGUAAAGGAAAGUGGACAGGCUUCUGUGAGAUUGUUUUCCAAGUGUUUAUAACUGAACAAUAUCACUAUACGGUGUUAAGGGUUGUUCAUAGAAACUUUGAGGAAAUUAUGAAUCAAUAAGAAUUUUGUAAACAUCAUGGGAGGCUCCCAGGGGAGUGGUGCCUGAACUGGGACACCCUCCAGCCAGGCCUUCCGACACCUACAAUGCUGCCACAGGACUGGCACAUUUUAGUGAUUGAUCUGAAAGACUGCUUCUUUACAAUUCCGCUUCAGGCAGUAGAUACCGUUCAUUUUGCUUUCACACUUCCAGCAAUUAACAGAGGGAAACCGGCUCACCGAUUUGAGUAGGUUGUGUUACCACAAGGCAUGAAAAAUUCUCCUACAAUGUGUCAGACGUAUGUUCAUUGGGCACUGGAGCCAGUGCGUCAUGCUUUUCCAGCCACUACUGUGUAUCACUAUGUAGAUGAUAUUCUUUUCUGUCAUUAUCAGCCUUUUAGUCCUCAGGAUCUGGAACAGAUUUCUAACUUGCAUGCAAGAAGGGCGUCUUCUGUGGAGACGCGUGGAUUCAUUCAGGUCGCCUUCCUUGACACAACCUAACCAAACUACCUUAACUCUAACAACCCUCCGCAAAAUCAUGUCCCUGAGCAACAUAUCCAAAUGGUUUUUAAACACAUACAGAAGUGGUGACUCAACUGCCUCCCUGGGGAGCCUACUCCCGUGCUUAACAACCCUUUCUGUAAAGAAAUAUUUCCUGAUCUCCAACCUAAACUUAUCCUGGAGCAACUUAAGGCCAUUUCUCCUUGUCCUGUCACCUGUCAACAGUGAGAAGAGAUCACCCCCACUCUUGCUGUAAGCACCUUUCAGAUAUUGGAAGAGAGCAAGAAGGUCUCCCUUCAGCCUCCUUUUCCCCAGACUGAGCAGUCCCAGUUCCUUCAGCCUCUCCUCGUAGAGCACAUUCUCCUAGCCUUUCACAAGCCCUGUUGCCCUUCUUUGGACCUACUCCAGCACCCCAGUGUCCUUUCACACAGAAUCACAGAAUUACAGAAUGGCCUGGGUUGGAAGGGACCUCAAGGGUCAUGAAUCUCCAAUCCCCCUACUGGGCAGGGCCACCAACCUCCCCAUUUACUAGACCAGGUUGCCCAGGGCCUCAUCCAACCUGGCCUUGAACACCUCCAGGGAUGGGGCAUUCACAACCUCUCUGGGCAGCCUGUUCCAGCAGCUCACCACUCUCAUAGUACAGAACUUCCCCCUAACAUCCAACCUAAAUCUGCCCUCUUUCAACUUAAAAUCAUUCCCCCUUGUCCUGCUGUUAUCUACCCUUUCAAAGAGUUGACUCCCCUCGUGUUUGUAGGCUCCCUUCAGGUACUGAAAGGCGGCAAUGAGACCACCCCACAGCCUUCUCUUCUCCAGGCUGAAUAAGCCCAGCUCCCUCAGCCUGUCUUUGUAGGGGAGGUGCUCCAGCCCCCUGAUCAUCUUCGUGGCCCUCCUCUGGACCCUCUCCAACAGCUCUCUGUCUUUCUUGUACUGGGGGCCCCAGACCUGGAUGCAGUACUCCAGAUGGGACUUCACAAGAGCAGAGUAGAGAGGGACAAUCACCUCCCUGUCCCUCAUGGCCACCCCUCUUCUGAUGGAGCCCAGGAUACCAUUUGCUUUCUGAGCUGCAAGAGCACACUGUUGGCUCAUGUUAGGUUUUUCGUCCACCAGAACUACCAGGUCCUUCUCUGCAGGGCUACCCUCAAGCUGUGCUCCUCCCAGUCUGUAUAUACGCCUGGGAUUCCUCCGGACCAAGUGCAGAACCUUGCACUUUGCUGUGUUGAACCUCAUUAGAUUCACCCAGGCCCACCUUUCAAGUCUGUUGAGGUGUGUCUGAAUGGCAACCCUUCCUUCCAUUGUGUCAGCUGCAUGACUCAGUUUGGUGUCACCAGCAAACUUGCUGAGGUGCACUCAAUUCCUUUAUUGGUGUCAUUGAUAAAAAUGUUGAAGAGCACCAGUCCCAAGACAGGCCCCUGGGGAACACUGCCUGUUACUGGCCUCCAUCUGGACAUAGAACCAUUGAUCACCACCCUUUGUCUGUGUCCUUUCAACCAAUUCCUUACCCACUGGGUGGUCCACCCAUCACAUCCACAUCUCUCCAGACAUGAUUCUACAGAAUCAGAAUGUUUCAGUCUUUGACAACAAGACUCUACUGCUACCUCUUUAUUCAUUAUCCAUCCCCAUUUCUCUCCUUCUGAAUGAUCUUUUAUGAAGAUGCUUACUAUAAUCUUUAAAUUAACCCAGGAAAAGGGUUUGAAAAGCUGAAGAUGAGACUAUGCAAAUAUUGCUGUAAUUUAAAUAAUAAACUCUUAAAUAGCUGUCAUAAUUCCUUUGCUACUGUGAAUUUAAUUAUUAAAUAAUAUUUAAUUUUAAUGCUGAGUGAUACCAACUGUAAAAGAAGGUAGUUUGUUUUGAGAGCUCUUACUAAUACUUCACUGUUAUUGAUACAGUUCUUUCAAUAAUUUACAUUAUCGGUUUUUUAGUUACUACUGGUAAUUUUUCUAUGAGAUGCAGGAAGUUUUUUGCUGAAGCAGCUGCUUCUGUUAUGAUAAUAAACAGUACUACUCCCAGGUUCAAUGUAUGUGUAUUUUAGCCUUAUACUACACAGUCUGGGGUGAAAAAGCAUUAUUGAAGUUUAUGAUAUGGACAAUUUGAUUUUAUUUUCUUUUUCUGAUGGAUUGACCUUUUCUAGUUUUCAGAUGCUCACCCAACUGCUCUUUCACUCUCUGUCUUCAGACAGGACAGGGGGAAGCAAAUAAGAUGAAAAAUCUUGUAGGUUGAGGCAAAGGUAUCAUCAUUUAACAACUACCAUCACAGGCUAAAAAAUAAUUAAGUACGGGUUAACUGAUAGGAUAUAUUGUCAAUUAAAAUAUAUUUGGAUAGGAAGAAACAAGGAAAGUAUUCAUUUUUUUUUUUAAACCCUCCCCAGUUUCUUUAUAGGCUCAAUUUCUCUUCUUUCACUUCUUCACUCCUGACCCUUCUAUCUCCCCCAUCACAUCCCUGAGUAGCAUGGAGAGGGGAGGCUUAUGAUCAGCCCAUGACAGCUCCUCUAUGCCACUCCUUCCUUCUCACACUUUUCCCUACUCCUGUGUGUACCUCAACGCAUGCCUUCAGGGAAAAGAUUUCCUCCAGCAUGGUCUCUUUAUGAGCCACAGUUCCUACAGGAAAUAUUCACUUGCUCUUCUAUGAACUGCAAUGUGCAUAUCUUCCCCAGCAUGGUCCCUUCCACAGGCUGCAGGGAAUUAACCUGCUCCGCUGGGGUCGUCUUCAUCAGCUUCAAGGGAACCUUUGCUCCGCCACCUGGACUUCACCCACACUUCCUCCACCUUCUUCCCUGAUUUUAGUAUUCACAAUGUUGCUUUGAAGGGCAAAAUCAGGACCCUGCAGUAUAGAAAGAAGGGCCUCAUAGCAAUAAAAGGGAAAGCAGCUUCACAAGGUAGGCAUAAGGGGCAAAUAGAGAUAGUUUAUGUAGAGAGCAUUAGAAAACAAGGGAUUCCAAGCACUUUCACAGACGCUAGGUCCAGAAUAACAAGGAGAAUGAAGGCCAUAAAGAUAAGGACCGGUGAACAGCUCGAAAACGUUUGACAGGGAGGUGAUUAGAUGUCUGAAGUGCAGGCUGAAACCGGUUUGAGGGAUGGCCCCCCUUCGGGGUCAGAAGUUUGCAGCGAGGAAGACUACAAGCCUUCAUCAUCACGACCUACCACGCAUGCGCAAGGGGGGAAGGGACUGUAUGGUAAUGGGUUCUCAGGGACAUAGUGAAUAUGUAUCCGAAUUCCUGUCAACUAUUGGUUAUGUAUUAGUUUGACGUAUAUCUAUAGCACGAUUUCUCCUGGUGGUCUGCAAGGUAGGUGGAGCGACCCCCCUUGCACCAGGGUGUACGCACAACACCAAUAAACACAUACCUGCUCUAUAUCCUUACUGGCUACAGGGUCUGAUUUCUGCACGUCAGCUUCUCUCACAUUUUUCCAUAAUUCUCUCUGCUAUCCACUGCUGUGCUGCAUUUUGCUCUUUCUUCAGCAUGCUUUCCCUGAGGUGCCACCUUCUUAGCUGCAGGGAUCAGAUGUACCCUGCACACAUACUGUGUAGUUGAAGCUGGUCAGAACUGGAACUAUCUCCUCACAACACUGCUCAAGCCAUCUUCUUCCAGCACCUGAGCACCUGUACCCAGUGUGUCCUUUUUUCUUUUUUUAUUGAACUUAAAGCAACCUUCUCUAGCUGAACCCACUCUGUGCAUGGGUUUAGACUAGGUAAUCAUCAGAAGUAUCUUCUAUCCAAUCCAUUCUGUGACUUAUUUUGUACAAGUUCCACCUCUGUAAUGGAAUUUUUGUUUUUAAAAGGACAAGAACUGACAAUUUCCUAGGUAGCUGUGAGGUGUCUAUCAGUAUUUAGAUUUCUCUGGGCCUCAAAAUACUACAGAAAUUAAAGGAUGAUAACAUCAAUACUAACAUUAGAUAGCAUUAGUGGCAAUGCUCCCAUACUUACUCUGCUGUCAUGAAUUACACGAUCAUUUGUAAUACCUUAAUAAUCUCUCAUUUAAUUGUAUACUAUUGUAUUUUCCUCAGAAAAGACUCUGCUCAGUGAUUCAAGUCACAAUAUGAAAAAUUAAUAACCUUACAUUUGAAAUGAAUUUGUGCAUUUUCAUUUCCAACUAUUUCAUUUCAUAUGUGAAAGUACAGAUUUGAGUAUAGUGCUCUGUACUUUUGUUUUGCAAAUUACCAAGUACAUUUUUGGCAUUUGGAUAGUAAUAAGAACCACCAUAAUGACAAACUGUGACAGUGUGUGCCAGCUGUAAAGUGACAUGUACACUCAUGACGUGUACAGUGAGUGUAAAUUAAAACCAUGCUCCAAGGGCAAUGUGCUAUUUUAUAUGAGCAAUUUAAGGGUUGACAUCAUAUUAUGACACUUGAGCAAAUUUCAUGCUACAGUAGAAAGAUUCAAAGCACAAGUUCUAAAAUCUAUUUUUAUUAGAUGAGAUUGUCCAAGAUGAUAGGUUAUCUGAAAAAUUCCCCUACCCAUUUCUAAGGAGACCAGAUGCUGUGUUAUGUUGCUGUGCAUUCUGACUGUGCAAAGCUUGCAUUUGUUUUAGCACUGGGAACUGUAUGUGUAAGUUGAUAGUCUAAGGCAUUUAUUAGAGUCAAAAUCAUAAUCCUACUUUUUUUUUUUUUUCCCUUUAUUCUUCACUUCUGGCAAGAAAAAAAAAAAGUACUGUUUUCAUGGCUUGUAAAGUACAUGUAAGAUUUUACAGCUACAGGUGUAUAAAUUACUCGUGGGAUGAAAAGGAAACACAGGCAAAUUUGGGCCUGUACCAAUAAUCUUGGGCAAGGCAAGUCAUUACAUUUUGUGUAUAAUUUCAAGUUGCUUCUCUGUGUUGAUGAAAUUUAUAAAUCUAAUGUAAAGCACACAUAUUUUUUAACAACAAAACUAAAUUUACAUACCUCAGUGAAUGGAAAAAAAAACGUUAUCAUGCGAUUCUUAUAGUACACGUUAAGGAAUGUGAAAUAAAUACUCAUUCAGAAAUAAUUUAGAAAAAAAUAAACCAGAACAUAUCCAACUAAUGAACAUCCUAUAGUUAACUGUUACAUUUUAUGUUCAUUGUCAUGUUAUAUAGACAGAGUUAGUAGUCCUUUUAUUUUUCACAACUGGAAACCUUAGUAGUAUAAUUACUGUUCCAAGAUCACAGAUACCACAUAAUGGUAUAGUUCCAGGUAUACCUUAUUCAGCUUACCAUUUGCUGAAUAUUUGAAUUCAGCUGUAAAUGUUGGUACUUGUGCCCUACUGGGACUUCUUGCCAAGCAAUCAUAUACAUUCCUUAAUAAAUUUUGAGAGUUAGAUUCUCAUGUCUGUGAUCUAACUUAGAACAGUAUAUGUUAACUAAUUGAUUUCUGAAAAUAACAUUGUUGUAAACAAAUAUAAUAUUGAAUAAAUAUUAAAUUUGGUAAUACAAAUCGGCAUGUCAAAACUAUUGCCAUUAUAAUGUUUUCCUGACUAAUUUCACAUAAAUUAUAAUUGCAGAAGGUCCACAAUAACAAUAUUAAUAGAUGUCUCCAUUAAAUAAAUAAACCAGUCACUGUGUGAGGUGCACAGAUUUGAAAGACUUGUUCAUGGAGAGAGAAACAUGGUCUUCAUUUUCUGUUACAAUAAUCUACAUUGCAUUGCCUGUUUUUUUUUGUUUGUUUGUUUGUUUGUUUGUUUUGUUUUGUUUGUUUUGUUUUGUUUUGUUUUUCUUUUCCCUACAGUACUUCUCCAUGUUGGAAGCAAAUAAUAGCUUCAGUAGCCAUAUAUUAUCUAAUGAAAAGUAAAUAGGGAUACUUACUUUUGCAGUACGUUAAAAUGUUGUGUUUAAACUAAUUUGAUUAACUAAAUUUGCAUGGUUUAUUAUUAUUAUUAUUAUUUUAUCAUUGGAAGAGAAUUAAAAAACUUAUGGGGCCCCACUAGGAUAAAUAAAAUAUUAAUAUUUUUCUAUUCUAAGGUGUUCUGUUUUUGUUGUUUGUUUAUUUUUUCCCCAGAAACAACUUAAUCUCCAAGUGUGUGUGUACGUUUGCCCAUGUAGCCUCUGAAAUUUUGCACAGAAGUUACUUUGCUGGUUUUAGUUGAUAUUGCAGUUGAUAUUGUAUAACUAGAGUUUUUAAUCUUUGUGUAUAACAUCUGUAUCUGACAGAGAUGUUGAAUUCUUUCAGCUAUGCACUGAAUGAUUGCAUCGUGUUAAAUAUUAAAGAGAAAAAAAGAAAAAAACAAAUUUUAGCUUAGGUUUCUUUCAGAG